GGCGGACGGGUGAGUAACGCGUGAGGAACCUGCCUUGAAGAGGGGGACAACAGUUGGAAACGACUGCUAAUACCGCAUGACGCAUAGGGGUCGCAUGAUCUUUAUGCCAAAGAUCUAUCGCUUCAAGAUGGCCUCGCGUCUGAUUAGCUGGUUGGCGGGGUAACGGCCCACCAAGGCGACGAUCAGUAGCCGGACUGAGAGGUUGAACGGCCACAUUGGGACUGAGAUACGGCCCAGACUCCUACGGGAGGCAGCAGUGGGGAAUAUUGGGCAAUGGGCGCAAGCCUGACCCAGCAACGCCGCGUGAAGGAAGAAGGCUUUCGGGUUGUAAACUUCUUUUAAGAGGGAAGAGCAGAAGACGGUACCUCUAGAAUAAGCCACGGCUAACUACGUGCCAGCAGCCGCGGUAAUACGUAGGUGGCAAGCGUUGUCCGGAUUUACUGGGUGUAAAGGGCGUGCAGCCGGGUCUGCAAGUCAGAUGUGAAAUCCAUGGGCUCAACCCAUGAACUGCAUUUGAAACUGUAGAUCUUGAGUGUCGGAGGGGCAAUCGGAAUUCCUAGUGUAGCGGUGAAAUGCGUAGAUAUUAGGAGGAACACCAGUGGCGAAGGCGGAUUGCUGGACGAUAACUGACGGUGAGGCGCGAAAGUGUGGGGAGCAA
rnacentral:rRNA from 1 species